AUUGAACGCUGGCGGCAGGCCUAACACAUGCAAGUCGAACGAGUGGCGGACGGGUGAGUAAUGUCUGGGAAACUGCCUGAUGGAGGGGGAUAACUCCUGGCAACGGUAGCUAAUACCGCAUACCAUCAGAUGUGCCCAGAUGGGAUUAGCUUGUUGGUGGGGUAACGGCUCACCAAGGAGACGAUCCCUAGCUGGUCUGAGAGGAUGACCGGCCACACUGGAACUGCGACAAGGUCCAGACUCCUACGGGAGGCAGCAGUGGGGAAUAUUGCACAAUGGGCGCAAGCCUGAUGCAGACAGGCCGCGUGUAUGAAGAAGGCCUUCGGGUUGUAAAGGACUUUCAGCGGGGAGGCGUUACUCGCAGAAGAAGAACCGGCUAACUCCGUGCGAGCCGCCGCGGUAAUUC
rnacentral:rRNA from 1 species